rnacentral:rRNA from 1 species
CCUACGGGGGGCUGCAGUGGGGAAUAUUGCACAAUGGGCGCAAGCCUGAUGCAGCCAUGCCGCGUGUGUGAAGAAGGCCUUCGGGUUGUAAAGCACUUUCAGCGGGGAGGAAGGCGUUAAGGUUAAUAACCUUGUCGAUUGACGUUACCCGCAGAAGAAGCACCGGCUAACUCCGUGCCAGCAGCCGCGGUAAUACGGAGGGUGCAAGCGUUAAUCGGAAUUACUGGGCGUAAAGCGCACGCAGGCGGUCUGUCAAGUCGGAUGUGAAAUCCCCGGGCUCAACCUGGGAACUGCAUUCGAAACUGGCAGGCUAGAGUCUUGUAGAGGGGGGUAGAAUUCCAGGUGUAGCGGUGAAAUGCGUAGAGAUCUGGAGGAAUACCGGUGGCGAAGGCGGCCCUCUGGACAAAGACUGACGCUCAGGUGCGAAAGCGUGGGGAGCAAACAGGAUUAGAUACCCCUGUAGUC